UGGAGGCUUUGAUGUUAUUGGUGAAAUGCAUUUGAUUAUGAUCCCACAUCGGAAACUUACAAAAGCAAGACUCAAUGUAACUUCUAUAUAAUAAGUCGAAAGCUAAGUAUGCAACAUACUUAUUGACGGGGUCAAUGGGUGAUCAAGAAGGUCCAUGGCCUAGGUUGGUGACCUUUAUUGCACUCAGGAGGGGUGCCUAAGGUCUACUCAAGGAGUGGAGCCUACGUCAUAAUUUGUGAUAGUGGUAGUGGGGGCUUGUAUUGCUCCUGCCCAAUAUAUCAUCAAAAGUUUUUGUUUGGCCCAAAUUAUGUUUUUGGGCUCAUAGUUUUUUUUUUUGUUAUUGUCUAAACUUUAUAUGAAAUUUUUAUUUUUUUUUGAGUUUUGAAAGUCAAUAAAAUUCACUUCUAAUGAGAAUAUUUAGUA